AUGGAAUCUAUAGGUUGUUUAGAUGCAUGAUCUGUUUAAUUUAGCAACCAAAAUCAAAUUUGAAUUGUCAAUUGACCUAAAGGUUUCUACGAUAUUGCAUAAAAUUACUUUUUAAGUGCUGGAGAUGGGUCCAAAACAAUUUUUACUAGCUAUUAGUUUGCCACUUUUUUCUUGGUUCAACAUGAUUCGUGAAUUUCUAGAAAAUAAUUCUUUUCCCUAA
rnacentral:misc_RNA from 1 species